rnacentral:rRNA from 1 species
UACGGGGGGAGCAAGCGUUGUUCGGAUUUACUGGGCGUAAAGGGCGCGUAGGCGGCCAGCACAAGUCAGUUGUGAAAUCUCCGAGCUUAACUCGGAAAGGUCAACUGAUACUGUGCGGCUAGAGUGCGGAAGGGGCAACUGGAAUUCUUGGUGUAGCGGUGAAAUGCGUAGAUAUCAAGAGGAACACCUGCGGCGAAGGCGGGUUGCUGGGCCGACACUGACGCUGAGGCGCGAAAGCCAGGGGAGCAAACGGGG